AACGGCGUAGCUCAGACGGAUAGAGCAUCCCGCUUUCGACAUACACCGGACUCGCAAUUCGAUUGUAUGGGCGGGGAGGUCGCGGGUUCAAGUCCCAGCCGCCGUUU
rnacentral:tRNA from 1 species